rnacentral:rRNA from 1 species
GUGGGGAAUAUUGCGCAAUGGGCGAAAGCCUGACGCAGCGACGCCGCGUGGAGGAUGAAGGUUUUCGGAUCGUAAACUCCUGUCAGGUGGGAAGAAAAAUUCUUUUAUAAUACAAAAGAGUUAUGACGGUACCACCAGAGGAAGCACCGGCUAACUUCGUGCCAGCAGCCGCGGUAAUACGAGGGGUGCUAGCGUUAUUCGGAAUUAUUGGGCGUAAAGGGUGCGUAGACGGCACAUUAAGUCUGUUGUUAAAUCCUCCGGCCUAACCGGAGAACUGCGGUGGAAACUGAUGAGCUUGAGGGUGAGAGAGAGAAGUGGAAUUCCCGGAGUAGCGGUAAAAUGCGUGGAUCUCGGGAGGAACACCAAUGGCGAAGGCAGCUUCUUGGCUCAUUUCUGACGUUGAGGCACGAAAGCGUGGGGAGCAAACAGG